CCUACGGGAGGCAGCAGUGAGGAAUAUUGGUCAAUGGGCGCGAGCCUGAACCAGCCAAGUCGCGUGAGGGAAGACGGUCCUAUGGAUUGUAAACCUCUUGUGUCGGGGAGCAAAAGACGCCACGCGUGGCGUUCCGAGAGUACCCGAAGAAAAAGCAUCGGCUAACUCCGUGCCAGCAGCCGCGGUAAUAAGGAGGAUGCGAGCGUUAGCCGGAUGUAUUGGGUUUAAAGGGUGAGCAGGCGGAAGGUCAAGUCAGCGGUAAAAUUGAGAGGCUCAACCUCUCCGAGCCGUUGAAACUGGUUUUCUUGAGUGAGCGAGAAGUAUGCGGAAUGCGUGGUGUAGCGGUGAAAUGCAUAGAUAUCACGCAGAACUCCGAUUGCGAAGGCAGCAUACCGGCGCUCAACUGACGCUCAUGCACGAAAGUGUGGGUAUCGAACAGGAUUAGAUACCCUUGUAGUC
rnacentral:rRNA from 1 species